UCCCUGGUAGCUCAGAUGGUAAAGAAUCUGCCUGCAGUGCAGGAGACCUGGGUUCGAUUCCUGGGUUGGGAA
rnacentral:tRNA from 1 species